rnacentral:tRNA from 1 species
UCCCUAGUGGUUCAGACGGUAAAGCAUCUGCCUGCAAUGCUGGAGACCUGGGUUCGAUCCCUGGGUUGGGAA